CAACGACGAAGAACCUUACCAGAUCUUGACAAAUCCAAUUGACCAUCUUUUAAUCGAGAUUUUGUCCUUCGGGUACGAAUUGAGACAGGUGGUGCAUGGUUGUCGUCAGCUCGUGUCGUGAGAUGUUGGGUUAAGUCCCGCAACGAGCGCAACCCUUGUGUUUAGUUGCAAACAGGUCAAGCUGUGCACUCUAGACAGACUACCGUGGACAACACGGAGGAAGGUGGGGAUGACGUCAAAUCAUCAUGCCCCUUAUGAUCCGGGCUACACACGUGCUACAAUGGCCGGUACAACGGGCAGCGAAGGAGCGAUCCGGAGCGAAUCCUAAAAAGCCGGUCCCAGUUCGGAUUGCAGGCUGAAACUCGCCUACAUGAAGUUGGAGUUGCUAGUAAUCGCGAAUCAGAAUGUCGCGGUGAAUGCGUUCCCGGGUCUU
rnacentral:rRNA from 1 species